rnacentral:lncRNA from 1 species
AAAGAGGAAGAAAAGAAAAAAAAGAGAAAUGCACUUGUCGACACUUAAGACUCUAACACCUGUAAAAUGCUCACAUAGAAUUGAGUUAAAAAGAGUCAAAAGUGAAUAAACCCUCAGAGUUAUGAGUUAAGCACGAAAAAAAAAGAGAAAAUCAAACAACAUGAAUGCCGAGUUCAAAACCAUUUGUUAUCCAUUUUUGUGUCUAUCCUACCGUACCCAAGCCCCG